GGAUUAGAUACCCUGGUAGUCCACACUGUAACCGCUGUCUACUAGCUCUUUGUGUAUUUAAUACGUGAGUAGCGAAGCUAACGCGCUAAGUAGACCGCCUGGGGAGUACGGCCGCAAGGUUAAAACUCAAAUGAAUUGAUGGGGGCCCGCACAAGCGGUGGAGCAUGUGGUUUAAUUCGAUGCAACGCGAAGAACCUUACCUACACUUGACAUGCAGAGAACUUUCCAGAGAUGGAUUGGUGCCUUCGGGAACUCUGACACAGGUGCUGCAUGGCUGUCGUCAGCUCGUGCUG
rnacentral:rRNA from 1 species